rnacentral:lncRNA from 1 species
UAUAAAAGAUACGAGGCUCGACAUUUUACUAAGGCCGAGGACUCUUGAUCUCCCAGACAGAUCCUAGAACCACAGGGCACAUGUGACCAGAAUCCAAUCUGUGCAAAUCAAUCAGCAAAAGGAGCCCCCAGCAAAGGCGCAGGCCGGGGCCUCCGGGGACCGGCACCUACACAGCGCACAGCCCCCCAGGGUCCGAGUCCUCCAAACCCGUGUAGGCAGGAGCCUCCUUACCUUGAUUUGCUUGAUGUUUGCUAAUCUUCUCUUGAACACCCCACAGCGUGAAGGGGGCCGAAGGCCAGAGACCAGGAUUUGGCUACGGAGGCAGAGCGUCCGACUAUAAAUCGGCUCACAAGGGAUUCAAGGGAGUCGAUGCCCAGGGCACGCUUUCCAAAAUUUUUAAGCUGGGAGGAAGAGAUAGUCGCUCUGGAUCACCCAUGGCUAGACGCUGAAAACCCACCUGGUUCCGGAAUCCUGUCCUCAGCUUCUUAAUAUAACUGCCUUAAAACUUUAAUCCCACUUGCCCCUGUUACCUAAUUAGAGCAGAUGACCCCUCCCCUAAUGCCUGCGGAGUUGUGCACGUAGUA